rnacentral:rRNA from 1 species
UUACCUCAGUAACGGCGAGUGAAGCGGUAACAGCUCAAAUUUGAAAUCUGGCCUCACGGUCCGAGUUGUAAUUUGUAGAGGAUGCUUCGAGCAUGGUCUGGCCUAAGUUCCUUGGAACAGGACGUCAUAGAGGGUGAGAAUCCCGUAUGCGGCCAGGUGCCUACGCUCAUGUGAAGCUCCUUCGACGAGUCGAGUUGUUUGGGAAUGCAGCUCAAAAUGGGUGGUAAAUUUCAUCUAAAGCUAAAUAUUGGCCAGAGACCGAUAGCGCACAAGUAGAGUGAUCGAAAGAUGAAAAGCACUUUGGAAAGAGAGUUAAACAGUACGUGAAAUUGUUGAAAGGGAAGCGCUUGCAACCAGACUUGCGCGCGGCCGAUCAUCCGGUGUUCUCACCGGUGCACUCGGCCGUGCUCAGGCCAGCAUCGGUUUUGGCGGCUGGAUAAAGGCCCUAGGAAUGUAGCUCCUCUCGGGGAGUGUUAUAGCCUAGGGUGCAAUGCAGCCUGCUGGGACCGAGGACCGCGCUUCGGCUAGGAUGCUGGCGUAAUGGUUGUAAGCGGCCCGUCUUGAAACACGGACCAAGGAGUCUAACAUCUAUGCGAGUGUUUGGGUGUCAAACCCAUACGCGUAAUGAAAGUGAACGGAGGUGAGAACCCUUAAGGGUGCAUCAUCGACCGGUCCUGAAGUUUACGGAAGGAUCUGAGUAAGAGCAUAGCUGUUGGGACCCGAAAGAUGGUGAACUAUGCCUGAAUAGGGUGAAGCCAGAGGAAACUCUGGUGGAGGCUCGCAGCGGUUCUGACGUGCAAAUCGAUCGUC